GGAUUGCCCUAGUAACGGCGAGUGAAGCGGCAACAGCUCAAAUUUGAAAUCUGGCGUCUUUGGCGUCCGAGUUGUAAUUUGCAGAGGGCGCUUUGGCAUUGGCAGCGGUCCAAGUUCCUUGGAACAGGACGUCACAGAGGGUGAGAAUCCCGUACGUGGUCGCUAGCCUUUACCGUGUAAAGCCCCUUCGACGAGUCGAGUUGUUUGGGAAUGCAGCUCUAAAUGGGAGGUAAAUUUCUUCUAAAGCUAAAUACUGGCCAGAGACCGAUAGCGCACAAGUAGAGUGAUCGAAAGAUGAAAAGCACUUUGGAAAGAGAGUUAAAAAGCACGUGAAAUUGUUGAAAGGGAAGCGCUUGCAGCCAGACUUGCCUGUAGUUGCUCAUCCGGGUUUUUACCCGGUGCACUCUUCUAUAGGCAGGCCAGCAUCAGUUUGGGCGGUUGGAUAAAGGUCUCUGUCACGUACCUCCUCUCGGGGAGAACUUAUAGGGGAGACGUAAUGCAACCAGCCUGGACUGAGGUCCGCGCAUCUGCUAGGAUGCUGGCGUAAUGGCUGUAAGCGGCCCGUCUUGAAACACGGACCAAGGAGUCUAACAUCUAUGCGAGUGUUUGGGUGUCAAGCCCGAGCGCGUAAUGAAAGUGAACGGAGGUGGGAACCUUUCGGGGUGCACCAUCGACCGAUCCUGAUGUCUUCGGAUGGAUUUGAGUAAGAGCAUAGCUGUUGGGACCCGAAAGAUGGUGAACUAUGCUUGAAUAGGGUGAAGCCAGAGGAAACUCUGGUGGAGGCUCGCAGCGGUUCUGACGUGCAAAUCGAUCGUCAAAUUUGGGCAUAGGGGCGAAAGACUAAUCGAACUAUCUAGUAGCUGGUUCCUGCCGAAGUUUCCCUCAGGAUAGCAGUAACGUUUUCAGGUUUUAUGAGGUAAAGCGAAUGAUUAGAGGCCUGGGGGUUGAAACAACCUUCACCUAUUCUCAAACUUUAAAUAUGUAAGAAGUCCUUGUUACUUAAUUGAACGUGGACAGUUGAAUGUAUCGUUACUAGUGGGCCAUUUUUGGUAAGCAGAACUGGCGAUGCGGGAUGAACCGAACGCGGGGUUAAGGUGCCAGAAUAUACGCUCAUCAGACACCACAAAAGGUGUUAGUUCAUCUAGACAGCAGGACGGUGGCCAUGGAAGUCGGAAUCCGCUAAGGAGUGUGUAACAACUCACCUGCCGAAUGAACUAGCCCUGAAAAUGGAUGGCGCUCAAGCGUAUUACCCAUACCCCGCCGCUGGGGCAAGAUUUAAGCCCCAGCGAGUAGGCAGGCGUGGAGGUCCGUGACGAAGCCUGG
rnacentral:rRNA from 1 species